rnacentral:rRNA from 1 species
CCAGCAACUUGGAGGAAUGUAUAGCAAUAGCUAAUUACAUGUAAGAUCGAUUUAUUGAAUAAAAUUCUGGAUAGAAUUAUGAUUAUGACAUUAUCUAUCCAUGUGUCUUGACCAAAUUACGUGCCAGCAGUCGCGGUAAUACGUAAAAGACUAGUGUUAUUCAUCUUUAAUAGGUUUAAAGGGUACCUAGACAGUAAAUCAAGCCCGGACUAAUUUACUAGAGUUACUUACGAGGGGGUUUUAAAGUACUAAUGGUGUAGAGAUGAAAUUUUGUAAUACCUAAUGGCACAGGUAUAGGCGAAAGCAUCCCCUUAUGUGAUAACUUUGAGUAGCGAACAGGAUUAGAUACCCUGGUAGUCAAAGCAGAAAAUAAUGAGUGUCAUAGAUUAGUUUAUUCUAUAAAUGAAAGUGUAAGCACUCCACCUCAAGAGUAAUUUGGCAACAUUGGAACUGAAAUCAUUAGACCGUUUCUGAAACCAGUAGUGAAGUAUGUUGUUUAAUUUGAUAAUCCGCAAAAAACCUUACCACAAUUUGAAUACAAGCGUUGCACGGCUGUCUUCAGUUAAUGUCGUGAGAUUUUGGUUAGAUCCAUUAAAUUAACGCAAGCCCUUACUUUAUUUUUAAAUAAAGUGGUUCCCCGCUAGAUUGGAUAUGAUAACAGGGAUUAAGACAAGUCAUCAUGGCCUGAAUAUUGUAAACCUUUACAAAAGGAUGUGAAAUUGUGAAAUUGAGCUAAU